AACAGUGUUUCCCAAACAGUGUUGCAAAACGUCAGAUGAUCUAAUUGAAGACGACGAGAUCAAAAAUAAUCCGACUUUACUUCCGAGUUGACUUUCCCUUCCGAUUUGGACCAAUUUCUGGGUAUUAAAUUGUUACGAUUCGCAGACAAAGGGCGCUGAGAAUCUGUGUUGUCAACAAUGGGAACACGAACACCCACACGCAUUGUAAACGGGUGACAAAUCGCAUUUUUCGGCAAGAUCAAGCGAUCACAACAAAGUGCCAACAGGGCCAAUAGGGGAAAACUGUAUUCCCAACAAAUAAUUGCUUAUCGUUUGUUUGGCGGACGAAGGCUGCUGCGGCUGAUAAUGUCAUUAUCCUGGACGCAAAAGGGAAAAGGAGUCGGAGUCCUGCUCUCCGCAUGACGUCACCAGGAAUGCUUAAAUAUCCAUGUGGUUUCUUAAGGACUAUAAUUUUGCCCCUAAGUGUAUCUUCACCUCAUUCACCUUUGGCAGGACAGGCCGACAAAUUGACGCAAAACAUUUAACGCUGGGGAUCUCGGGAUUGGGUCGGCGGACAUGGUCGAACGGCAGACGGGAGCAAGGAGUGAGGGAAGGACCACAGGACGACGGUGCCGGCUCUUUCUGUGGGCCACAAAAAAUUCCUUUGAAUUGCGUCCGUUGCAGCAGAAACACACAAACACGGCGAUAUGUGUUUUCAGUAUUUUUUGUUGCCUGCGGCCUGUGGCUAUGCGCAAAAAAGGACAUCUCCUCCGGCGGUUGCUCCGGUGGUAGGAUGACUGGCGGUCCACAGGAUCGGUGGUUCGGACGUUCAGAGGUUCGGAGGUUUUUGUGGGCCCUCUAUUAUGCAUUGCGUACGGCCUCGCCCGGCGUGUUGACAUUUUUAUUCCAAACAGUUGAGCAAUAUUUAUAAACUGCCCGGGAAAAAAGGAGCAAGGAGGAUGAGGAUGAGGAGGUCAUGGUGCAUGAUGCAUGCCCAAUGGCUUUAUUUCAGGGUGACCAUGUAAAAUGUCCUCGUGGUUUGCUGCUUAUUAAAUGAGCUAUUUGAUUAACAUUGUUCUGUGCUUGCUGUUUCGCUAAUGAAAGAACAAAAGCGAGUAUUUGGCCUGUAGGCACAGAGGUCACAAGGCAAAAACCAUGGACAGCCAUUUUAAACAUUUAUCAGAAAAUAUAUGUUCCAUAUUUUAUGCAUGUUAGGAACCUCUUUCACUGAGAUAUUUCAGUCUUGUUAAGUAGAUGCCGUAAACAUUUUAUUGUAAGCGAAUGUUGGUUAGAUACCAUUUAAAGAAAUGUAUGAGAGAUGUUUUUGAUUAAUCAUAGGUCGUGUUAUGCUUAUCAUCUGAUAUUUAAUGAUAACCUAAGGUUAUUAAAAGAGUCAUUUUUAACGAUGUUUAUAAAUUUUAAAUGAUAUUCCGAUUAAAAGAUAUUCCUAUCCUAAGUUAAAGUUUGGCAAAGAUAGCCCUUACCGAAAUUAAUUAAAUAUAUAUUUUAUUUUAUUUAUAGUUUCAAGAUAUUCCUAUCCUUAGUUAAAGUCUGGCUAGGACAGUCUUAAACAUACAUAACCUUCCCACUAAUAGUAGUGUUCAUAAACAGCAACCUAAACAUCAACAAACGUUUCUCAAUUAACCGUUAAUGUACAAUUUGGCCUGCCACUCAAUUACUUUGUUUUUCUUUGGCAGCUUAUUAAAUGUUAUAUUUUGCAUGCCCAAGAGCAAGACAAAGUCUGUGGGAUUGCGGCUCUGGAAUUGUUGAUGUUUGCACUGGCGAAACACCUUGGAGACUGGGAACGAGAUGAUCUAAUUGAAUGACAAUAUUAUGCCAAGGCCUAAUUCAAUUUGCAAUUUGCAUUGCUUGGGGAGCGCUGCAGGUGGAGGAACAUGGCUGGAACAUGGGUUGAAUCUUAAACAAACACGGCAAUUACAGCAAACGGAUGCACUUGUCUGGCCAAAAGACUUGGGCCUGCUCUGUAAUUAGCCCGGGGACGAAAGGAUGCGGGAUGGGCUUCUGCUGGCCCUUUGUCGGCCUCCUCGGGGGUCCCGCCUAAUUAUCACAUUUUUACUCAUUAAAUUCACAUUUGCUUGUUUUUCUCCCGCGUUUCUUUUUGUUUUUUUUCUUUUUCGCAGGACCGAGCCCGCUGCCUAAUUACGGGGUAAUCAGGCUUUCAGCCGCCGUGGCUACCGAAUGAUGAUUGAUUCGAGGAUGGAGGAGUGACAUCUGCCCAAGCGCGUGCCAAACAAAGGGAAAAAAACACAGAGAGGAAAGUGCAAACAGCAGCUGAAAUGAAUAUGGAAAGCAGGGGCGUAGUCGAGGAAAAAGGAAAUCGAAAACUGAUUUGGAGCGGAAGUUCGUUUGCACCUUUCUGCAGUUUCCUGUAUUUGCCGCCGCCAGAACAAUAAACACACACAAGCUGCGGCAUCCACAAUUCCGCAAUCUACAGCCACUUCCAUAUCCACAAUCGCAAUCAGAAUCGCCGAGUGUUCCAUAUAGUACGAGUACCUUAACUUGUCUUGCCCUUUGACGCCGUCUUUUGUACUAAGAGAGUUGAGAUGGGAAAUGGGAUGGGAAUGGAAUGGAGAUGGAGACGAAGUCACCGCCCGUUGGCUUUUGAAUGAGCUGCAAAUCUAAAGCUAUACGCGAUUUUGCAAAAGUACAGAUUAAGGAUAUGCGUGUGCAGGCAAAAAAAUAUCGAAGAACUACACAAAUUGUGAUUAUAAUUUUUAAAAGAAAAUAUCCGAAAUAUCAUUGUAAGCGAGGCAAUAUGUUCCUAUUUUGAUAAGAUUUUCACUUAUCAUUGAUUAAGUACCUUUAAGAUUAGUCUAAAAUGUUUUAUACGAAUCCAUUAAAAAUGUACAAUGAAUAAUGAUUUCUAUAUCUACAUUUUCUUUCCAUGUAUGCAAAAGCAAGGAGCACGGAUCCCUGGCAGCUGCUCCUUCGAAACGCUGUAUUUGAUUUGCGAUUCGAGGCAGGCGGAAAUGGAAUGACACGCGAGGCACUCUUACUUUGUUUGAGGAUUGGCAAAAAUGGUGCCUCCAUUGCCCGACAAAAAACAGAAGGAACCAAGGACUAAGGACCCGUGAGCCGUAAGAGACUUCCACUUGAGCCGCACGCAUUGUUUGCAUUUGCGAGUCGGAGGGGCGUGCUGGAAAUCGGAUAUAGGAUCGCUCGCUCGGGACAAUCAAAUAGCGCAGCGGAGUUUUCCAACCCACUGAGCAGCCGCAAUCGGCGAGGGAAUCAGCUGCCUAUUGCCCAUGAGAAGACUACUCUAUGAGGAGAUGAGGUGCCAACCCGAGCCACGCGUGUUCUAUGUCCAGUGGUCAAAAUUGGACACUGGCCGUCUCAUUAGCGCACCAAAGGUUGCAAGGUUAAUGAUGCGCACCCCGUGCUUGGGCUUCCGUCUGCCCAUCUCCACCUCCUCGGGCAAUUAUGCGACGCACUUGAGCUUGAAGGGCCACGGAGCAGGGGAGUGCACAAUACAUUUUGGUCGCGCGGAUUAUACAACAUAUAAACCAAAUAAAUGGGACCCAACACCUGCAGGUGGAAAAACAUGAAAAAAUGAUCAUUGCGAGAUAUGUAAACGGGACAUGACGCCGCAGGAUGCCAAACAGAGGACGCUCCUCCAGUUGCAGUCCAAUCUCCACCACUUGCGCCUGGGUUAUCGGUGAAUAUUCCGUGACGAUGGCAAAAAUAUUGCAACGCAGCCAAAAAGGGGGAGAGGAGGAGUGCCAGGGAGGCCAGGAAAAGGGGUCGGGGUCUGGGUCCUGGUCCAUUUCGUGUGCACGUCGUUAUCCUUGCCCCGGAUGCACAACAAUCAAAAUAAACGGCUGCCAAAUUGACCAUUGACCAAACAUCGUCAGCAGCAAAAAACGAGUAGGUGGAGCAGGAGGUGCAAAACGACUGCAGCAGGAUGUGGAGGCGAAAAAGACCUCCAGGAUGUGGGUGAGUCAGUAAAGCCCCAUUGGACAGCGACAUCAUCUUUGGCCCCGUCACGUCGACUUCGAGCACAAUUCACGAGUCAAGCAGCCAUCACGAAAUAAACAUGAAAUUCUCCGGUUUUUGUUCAGCAAAGUGCAGGAAAAACGAUUAAAGAGAAUUCUUCAGAACUCUACAACUUUUUUUCCGAAUACAAAACAAUUAAAAGGAUUUUUUCUGAAUGCAGGCACUCCAAUGUUUAUUCAAUAAACCCGAUCUGAGAUGCGGCACCAGGAGGAGAGGCUGCAGAGCAGAUCAGAACAGCAGCUGGCUGGCAUUCCUUCGAGAAGCAACCGUUCUGCAGUUGGCCUGGCCCAUUCAAGACAAGCCGCUGGAAUUUCUUGGUGCGUGCUCGGCACAGGCACAGUCACUGGCACAGGUUCAGAUAUGAGAUUCAGCUGGUCCAGCGUCUGCCAGCUGCGUCUCCUGAUUAUGAUAAUGGCAGUUGGACGGACUGGACCGGAUCGGGUUGGACCGGGACAGGAAUCGGUACUGGGAAUGGGAAUGGGAGACUGGGACCACAUAGCACCACCAGGCAGUGGAAGCCCAGCUCAGCUCAUCCCGUCUUCGCUGGCCAGUUGUGUGCAAUUGCUUUCGUUUAUGAUCGAAUGAUCGAAUGCCUGGCAGCUCCGUUGACUUUCUGAUUAAUGCAAGAAUGCUCCUUGGCGGCGUUCCUGCUUUUUGCCCGAUCCCACCACCACCGACUGCAAUUAAAAGUGGAUACUCCUCAAUGGAAGGGUCACUGAAAAUUGGCGAAGGCAAUACACGACAUUGCAGCCAAAGACAAGGUCGGAGCAUCAACUUACUUAUCCCUAAAAGCGUACUACCACAAUGAGAUCUUUUUUGUUUAACUAAACUUGAGGUUGCCCUAGGAAAAAAUAAAUGUGA